AUUGAACGCUGGCGGCAGGCCUAACACAUGCAAGUCGAGCGGAGCGGCGGACGGGUGAGUAAUGCCUGGGAUUCUGCCUGGUAGUGGGGGAUAACGUCCGGAAACGGGCGCUAAUACCGCAUACUAUCAGAUGAGCCUAGGUCGGAUUAGCUAGUUGGUGGGGUAAAGGCCUAACAAGGCGCCGCUCCGGAACUGGUCUGAGAGUAUGAUCAGUCACACUGGAAGUGAGACACGGUCCAGACUCCGACGGGAGGCAUCAGUGGGGAAGAUUGGACAAUUGGCGAAAGCCUGAUCCAGCCAUGCCGCGUGUGUGAAGAAGGUCUUCGGAUUGUAAAGCUCUUUAAGUUGGGAGGCGUUACCAACAGAAUAUGCACCGGCUAACUUCGUGCCAGCAGCCGCGGUAAUUC
rnacentral:rRNA from 1 species